CUGUCAAGUGGGAAGUCAAGUAAUAAAUACUAUAUUAGCUCAAGCAUAUCUUGAAGGCACAAGACAGUUGUAUGAGUGGGUGGCUCAGACUUCCAAGAUGUACCAUCUUGCAAUAUUGAUACCUUCCCAUCAGUUCUGACAUAGGGCCUCAUGGGAAAUUCCCUAUAAUCAACUCUCCCAAGAAGAAAGAAAUCAGGCUUGAUUUCACAAACAGUUCUUCACAAUAUUCUGAGACUACUCAAACAUGGACUGCUGCUACAUUACAGCCCAUUCAGGAAGGCCUCGAAGGAUCAAGAGGAAGAUAAACCCUGUCAGUGGGCAGAACCUUUGCCAUUGCCUCUUAUCUUUCACCUGGUAGGUUCAUCUCACCUGGAAGGUAAAAUGGAAAGAGGUUUGGAUCUAUACAAGUUUAUGAGCAAUGGCUACGUCUUUGCUGGUAUAUGAAGUAACUUAGAGCAAAGUAACAGGUUUGGUGAAGAGAAGAUCUGGAGAGAUUUAAGGCAACAGACUUCUGAGAAAGGCCUCAAACUGUGAAGAUAUUUUUGGCCCAUGUGACAAUUUACCAAAGGGAACUCAUGGUGAAAAAACUCUCUGAAACCAGCAAAAAUAGGUAAAAUCAGAUACACAAGAUGACCCAUUCAUGAAUAUCAGUCAGACUCAUAAUGAGAAUGAAGGUUACACCAUUGGCAUAAAGUUUGAGGCCCCUGAGAGCUAUUAAUAAUGUUCUAAUCAUUACCAGUAAAGCCUAGGGACAAAUCCUACCUCACUCUUCAUGUAUGCUGUAGGUGAUGCCAGGGAGUUUAUUCCUGAGGGAUGAUGGGUCCUCAAGGGAGCACCAUCUUGAAGAAAAUAACCCCAGGAGGCCUACCUGAAAGCAGGGAACCGAGGGUUUAAUAGGUCAUGGAUCAGCCUCUAACAAGUCUUCACAUGGAGACACAACAGGAUACACCAGUAUGGACCGGCUUAGUAGGUAAGCAGAACCAGGGAUGGAGCAUCCAGAGACAGGCAGAGAAAACCGGGGCAGGGAGACAGGGGUAGAGAAGCCAGGAUGUAUGAACUCGGGGCAGGGGUCAGGGAGACUGGUUGCGUGAGAACAAGAGGCAGGAGCACAGAAUCCAGGUUGGCUGUGCACACGUGGGUUGUGAGACCUUGAGCCACACGUUCUGACAGGUCCAGGCAAAGGAGGACUCUUACACACAGGAUUCAAACCACAUCCUCAUCGAAUCAUUUCCUCCCACAGGAAAUCAAGGCUGACAGAGCAGUGACCAUUGGAAACAUGAGGGCACGCUGAGUGCUUACCUGUCCCAGGCUCUUGUGUAGUGUUGUCUAAACGUUCCCUUCGCAUUCUCUCCACAAGGACACAACAAUCCCGGAAGGUCACAAAUGAGGGAAACGCGUUCAGACAGAGGAAAGUGACUUGCCCAAGGUCACACAACUGCAGGAAAAGGGGAAUUCUGAGAGAGGAUGAAGACAGAGCCCAUCAUGUCUGUUCUAGUGUUGGUUGUAAAUAAAU
ensembl:lncRNA